rnacentral:rRNA from 1 species
UACUAUGUUACGACUUAUCUCAAUUAAUAAAUGAGAGUGACGGGCGAUGUGUACAUAUUAUAGAGCUAAAAUCAUAUUUACAAUCUAUAAAAAAUUACAAUUAAAUCCAAUUUCAUACUCUUAAAAUUUCAAAAAAUAAUUCAAAUAAAUCAAAAAAAAUGUAAUCCAUCUCCACCAAACUAUAAGCUGCACCUUGACCUGAAAUAAAUUUUAAAAACAAAUCCAGAAAAUUAUUUAAACUCUAAAAAGAUCUUCACUAUAACGGCGGUAUACAUACAUAAAACUUGGUAAGGUACAACGUGGAUUAUCGAUUAAGGAACAGAUUCCUCUAAAUAGACUAAAAUACCGCCAAAUUCUUUAAGUUUCAAGACCCUAACUAAUACUACCUGGGUUAUAAUAAUUUACAUCUAAAAUAAUAGGGUAUCUAAUCCUAGUUU